AGCGUUGUCCGGAAUUAUUGGGCGUAAAGAGCUCGUAGGCGGUUUGUCGCGUCUGCUGUGAAAGCCCGGGGCUCAACCCCGGGUCUGCAGUGGGUACGGGCAGACUAGAGUGCAGUAGGGGAGACUGGAAUUCCUGGUGUAGCGGUGAAAUGCGCAGAUAUCAGGAGGAACACCGAUGGCGAAGGCAGGUCUCUGGGCUGUAACUGACGCUGAGGAGCGAAAGCAUGGGGAGCGAACAGGAUUAGAUACCCUGGUAGUCCAUGCCGUAAACGUUGGGCACUAGGUGUGGGGGACAUUCCACGUUUUCCGCGCCGUAGCUAACGCAUUAAGUGCCCCGCCUGGGGAGUACGGCCGCAAGGCUAAAACUCAAAGGAAUUGACGGGGGCCCGCACAAGCGGCGGAGCAUGCGGAUUAAUUCGAUGCAACGCGAAGAACCUUACCAAGGCUUGACAUGGACCGGACCGCCGCAGAAAUGCGGUUUCCCUUCGGGGCCGGUUUACAGGUGGUGCAUGGUUGUCGUCAGCUCGUGUCGUGAGAUGUUGGGUUAAGUCCCGCAACGAGCGCAACCCUCGUUCUAUGUUGCCAGCGCGUUAUGGCGGGGACUCAUAGGAGACUGCCGGGGUCAACUCGGAGGAAGGUGGGGACGACGUCAAAUCAUCAUGCCCCUUAUGUCUUGGGCUUCACGCAUGCUACAAUGGCCGGUACAAAGGGUUGCGAUACUGUGAGGUGGAGCUAAUCCCAAAAAGCCGGUCUCAGUUCGGAUUGAGGUCUGCAACUCGACCUCAUGAAGUCGGAGUCGCUAGUAAUCGCAGAUCAGCAACGCUGCGGUGAAUACGUUCCCGGGCCUUGUACACACCGCCCGUCAAGUCACGAAAGUUGGUAACACCCGAAGCCGGUGGCCU
rnacentral:rRNA from 1 species